GACCAGUGAUGUGUGUUAGGAGUUACAGGCCGAAGUGCCUCCACCUCCAGUGACUUACAUUUCAAUAGUUGACAUUUGAUAUAGAUCAAGUGAAGAUUUUAUUUUAUUUCAAUCAAAUAUAUUUCUAUUAGACAACACAAGAUGUUUCUUGCUUCCUGCAAUGGAUCCUGACAAACAGAGUUGUAGGUACAUGUAUUGAUCAUAGUUUUAUAGGAUUAUGAAGACUUUAAAAAAGCUAGACUUUAAUUUGUGUUUGAGUUAUCUUACCUGAUAAACUAUUAUUUUGAUCAUGUUUUUGAUUCAAUAAAGUGUAACAGUAAUUACAUGU
rnacentral:misc_RNA from 1 species